UUGUCGUGAGUGAGAGACCUAGUUCAAUGAAGGCUUUAUUGAAAUUGAAGUGAUGUGAUAACAUGAAACAAACAUUGCCUGAGUAGAGCGAAGCUGAUAUGAUUGUUGUCAAAUAUGUGAGCAGGACAUUCAGUGGAUUUUAUUAACAUAAUUUUCUGAUCAGACCAAACAAAGAUGCCAGCCACAAAAUUAGACGGCCCUUUUAAGGGAUUCAUGGCUAGGAAAAUAACCAUGCCAAAAUACCAGCCACCUGAUACAACCAAACCUGAGAAAGAAGAUAGCAUGUAUUCUGUGCGAUGGCCGUCAUACAGCAAUAAUGAUGUACAGAAAAGAAUUGAUAAUGUUUUAGGACCACUUUCUUUAUUUGCUCCGUUUCCACAUGAAGAUGAACCUGAAUAUGAAGAAAUAGAAUUAGAAAGACCAAUAACACCUAUCAAUG